CUGCUCCUAGUACGAGAGGACCGGAGUGGACGCAUCACUGGUGUUCGGGUUGUCAUGCCAAUGGCACUGCCCGGUAGCUAAAUGCGGAAGAGAUAAGUGCUGAAAGCAUCUAAGCACGAAACUUGCCCCGAGAUGAGUUCUCCCUGAGACUAUAAGUCUCCUGAAGGAACGUUAAAGACGAUGACGUUGAUAGGCCGGGUGUGUAAGCGCAGCGAUGCGUUGAGCUAACCGGUACUAAUGAACCGUGAGGCUUAACCUU
rnacentral:rRNA from 1 species